GACAAACGCUGGCGGCGUGCUUAACACAUGCAAGUCGAACGGAAAGGCCCUGCUUUUGUGGGGUGCUCGAGUGGCGAACGGGUGAGUAACACGUGAGUAACCUGCCCUUGACUUUGGGAUAACUUCAGGAAACUGGGGCUAAUACCGGAUAGGAGCUCCUGCUGCAUGGUGGGGGUUGGAAAGUUUCGGCAGUUGGGGAUGGACUCGCGGCUUAUCAGCUUGUUGGUGGGGUAGUGGCUUACCAAGGCUUUGACGGGUAGCCGGCCUGAGAGGGUGACCGGCCACAUUGGGACUGAGAUACGGCCCAGACUCCUACGGGAGGCAGCAGUGGGGAACAUUGCACAAUGGGCGGAAGCCUGAUGCAGCAACGCCGCGUGCGGGAUGACGGCCUUCGGGUUGUAAACCGCUUUCGCCUGUGACGAAGCGUGAGUGACGGUAAUGGGUAAAGAAGCACCGGCUAACUACGUG
rnacentral:rRNA from 1 species